CUACCUGUUUGUCAAUGAUGAUCCUGUCUGAUCAUAAAAGCUAAGCAAGGCCAGGCCUGGUUCGUACUUGGAUAUGAGGCCACUGGGAAUACCAGGU
rnacentral:rRNA from 1 species